rnacentral:rRNA from 1 species
ACGAACGCUGGCGGCAUGCCUAACACAUGCAAGUCGAACGAGACCUUCGGGUCUAGUGGCGCACGGGUGCGUAACGCGUGGGAACCUGCCCUUAGGUUCGGAAUAACUCCCCGAAAGGGGUGCUAAUACCGGAUAAUGUCUUCGGACCAAAGAUUUAUCGCCUUUGGAUGGGCCCGCGUUGGAUUAGCUAGUUGGUUGGGUAAAAGCCUACCAAGGCGACGAUCCAUAGCUGGUCUGAGAGGAUGAUCAGCCACACUGGGACUGAGACACGGCCCAGACUCCUACGGGAGGCAGCAGUGGGGAAUAUUGGACAAUGGGCGAAAGCCUGAUCCAGCAAGGCCGCGUGAGUGAUGAAGGCCUUAGGGUUGUAAAGCUCUUUUACCCGGGAUGAUAAUGACAGUACCGGGAGAAUAAGCUCCGGCUAACUCCGUG